rnacentral:rRNA from 1 species
UGGGGAAUAUUGGACAAUGGGCGCAAGCCUGAUCCAGCCAUGCCGCGUGAGUGAUGAAGGCCCUAGGGUUGUAAAGCUCUUUCACCGGUGAAGAUAAUGACGGUAACCGGAGAAGAAGCCCCGGCUAACUUCGUGCCAGCAGCCGCGGUAAUACGAAGGGGGCUAGCGUUGUUCGGAUUUACUGGGCGUAAAGCGCACGUAGGCGGACUUUUAAGUCAGGGGUGAAAUCCCGGGGCUCAACCCCGGAACUGCCUUUGAUACUGGAAGUCUUGAGUAUGGUAGAGGUGAGUGGAAUUCCAAGUGUAGAGGUGAAAUUCGUAGAUAUUCGGAGGAACACCAGUGGCGAAAGCAGCUCACUGGACCAUUACUGACGCUGAGGUGCGAAAGCGUGGGGAGCAAACAGG